AUGAACGCUGGCGGCGUGCUUAACACAUGCAAGUCGAGCGGAAAUAUUUUAAAUGAAGGCUUCGGUUGGAAUUUAUAAUAUUUUAGCGGCGGACGGGUGAGUAACGUGUGGGUAACCUGCCAUAUACUGGGGAAUAAUCAUUUGAAAAGAUGACUAAUACCGCAUGUCGUCACUAAGGGGCAUCUCUUGGUGAAAAAAGGAGUAAUCCGGUAUAUGAUGGACCCGCAUCUGAUUAGCUAGUUGGUGAGAUAACAGCUCACCAAGGCGACGAUCAGUAGCCGACCUGAGAGGGUGAUCGGCCACAUUGGGACUGAGACACGGCCCAAACUCCUACGGGAGGCAGCAGUGGGGAAUAUUGCACAAUGGGCGAAAGCCUGAUGCAGCAACGCCGCGUGAAGGAAGAAGGGUUUCGGCUCGUAAACUUCUAUCAAUGGGGAAGAAACAAAUGACGGUACCCAAAUAAGAAGCCCCGGCUAACUACGUGCCAGCAGCCGCGGUAAUACGUAGGGGGCAAGCGUUAUCCGGAAUUACUGGGUGUAAAGGGAGCGUAGGCGGCAUGGUAAGCCAGAUGUGAAAGCCCGAAGCUCAAUUCGAGGAUUGCAUUUGGAACUAUCAAGCUAGAGUACAGGAGAGGUAAGUGGAAUUCCUAGUGUAGCGGUGAAAUGCGUAGAUAUUAGGAAGAACACCAGUGGCGAAGGCGACUUACUGGACUGAAACUGACGCUGAGGCUCGAAAGCGUGGGGAGCGAACAGGAUUAGAUACCCUGGUAGUCCACGCCGUAAACGAUGAGUGCUAGGUGUCGGAGGGGAACCUUCGGUGCCGCAGCUAACGCAAUAAGCACUCCACCUGGGGGGUACGAUCGCAAGAUUG
rnacentral:rRNA from 1 species